rnacentral:rRNA from 1 species
GAUGAACGCUGGCGGCGUGCCUAAUACAUGCAAGUCGAGCGAACAGAUGAGGAGCUUGCUCCUCUGACGUUAGCGGCGGACGGGUGAGUAACACGUGGAUAACCUACCUAUAAGACUGGGAUAACUUCGGGAAACCGGAGCUAAUACCGGAUAUUAUAUUGAACCGCAUGGUUCAAUAGUGAAAGACGGUUUUGCUGCCACUUAUAGAUGGAUCCGCGCCGCAUUAGCUAGUUGGUAAGGUAACGGCUUACCAAGGCGACGAUGCGUAGCCGACCUGAGAGGGUGAUCGGCCACACUGGAACUGAGACACGGUCCAGACUCCUACGGGAGGCAGCAGUAGGGAAUCUUCCGCAAUGGGCGAAAGCCUGACGGAGCAACGCCGCGUGAGUGAUGAAGGUCUUCGGAUCGUAAAACUCUGUUAUUAGGGAAGAACAAAUGUGUAAGUAACUAUGCACGUCUUGACGGUACCUAAUCAGAAAGCCACGGCUAACUACGUG